GCGAGUGUCGCUGCUGAAGGCUGUGGUGGACCGGGCUGGAUCGCGGAUUCUGAGCUACAUCGCGGGUUUGGGGGUGGAUCGCGGGUUUGGGGGUGCAUCUUGGAUUUAGGGGUGGAUCGCUGGGUGGGGAGGGGGAUCUCGAAUUUGGAGCUGGGUGGGGGUGGAAAGGCCACGAGGAGCCGCAGCGUCUCAGGAGCGGGUGGUGGGCAUCUGAGAAGUCGCCACCAUGAGGAAGCUCCUCAGUUUUGGGAGACGCCUGGGCCAGGCGCUCCUGAGCUCCAUGGACCAAGAGUAUGCGGGUCGGGGGUACCACAUUCGGGACUGGGAACUGCGGAAGAUCCACAGGGCGGCCAUCAAGGGCGACGCCGCAGAGGUGGAGCACUGCCUGACGCGCAGGUUCCGGGACUUGGACGCCCGCGACAGAAAAGACAGGACUGUUCUACAUUUGGCCUGUGUCCAUGGCCGUGUGCAAGUGGUCACUCUCUUGCUGGACAGAAGAUGCCAGAUCAACAUCUGUGAUAGACUAAACAGGACACCUUUAAUGAAGGCUGUACACUGCCAGGAAGAGGCUUGUGCCAUUAUUCUCCUGAAACAUGGCGCCAAUCCAAACAUUAAGGAUAUCUACGGCAACACUGCUCUCCAUUAUGCCGUGUAUAAUGAGGGGACUUCACUGGCAGAAAAACUGCUUUCCCACCAUGCAAAUAUUGAAGCACUAAACAAGGAGGGAAACACUCCACUUUUGUUUGCUAUAAAUUCCAGGAGACAGCAUAUGGUGGAAUUUUUAUUGAAGAACCAGGCAAAUAUACAUGCCGUUGACAAUUUCAAAAGAACAGCCCUCAUACUUGCAGUACAGCAUAACUUGUCAAGUAUCGUCACCCUCCUGCUUCAACAAAAUAUACAUAUCUCUUCUCAAGACAUGUUUGGCCAAACUGCCGAGGAUUAUGCUUUUUGUUGUGAUUUGAGAAGCAUCCAACAACAAAUUUUGGAACAUAAAAAUAAGAUGCUUAAAAAUCAUCUUCGAAAUGACAAUCAAGAAGCAGCAGCCAUGAAGAAUGAAAGUUUUAAAACACAAGGAGCAAGUUCAAAAGUCUCGCUCUAUCACCAGUCUGGAGUCCAGUGGCAUGAUCUCAGAUUACUGCAGCCUUCACCUCCCAGGUUCAAGCAAUUCUCCUGCCUCAGCCUCCCGAGGAGCUGGGACAACAGGCACAUGCGACCAUGCCCAGAAACAGCAGCUAUGAAGCCUGAAAAUUUGAAAAAAAGAAAAAAAAGAAAAAAAUUGAAAAAAAGAAAAGAAGGUGCAAAAGCAGAACACAACUUAAAAGUGGCUUCAGAGGAAAAGCAAGAAAGGCUUGAAAGAAGUGAAAAUAAACAGCCACAGGAUUCUCAAAGUUAUGGAAAAAAGAAGGAUGCGAUGUAUGGAAAUUUUAUGUUGAAGAGAGACAUUGCCAUGCUCAAACAGGAAUUAUAUGCAAUAAAAAAUGACAGUCUCAGAAAGGAAAAGAAAUAUAUUCAGGAAAUUAAAAGUAUUACAGAAAUAAAUGCUAACUUUGAAAAGAGUGUAAGACUCAAUGAAGAAAUGAUAACAAAAAAAGUGGCCCAGUAUUCACAACAGCUUAAUGAUCUGAAAGCUGAGAAUGCAAGGCUGAAUUCAAAAUUGGAGAAGGAAAAACACAACAAAGAAAGACUAGAAGCUGAAGUUGAAUCCCUCCAUUCUAACCUGGCCACUGCUAUAAAUGAGUACAAUGAAAUUUUGGAAAGAAAAGACCUAGAACUAGUUUUAUGGAGAGCAGAUGAUGUUUCUAGACAUGAAACAAUGGGUUCUAAUAUUUCUCAACUAACAGAUAAGAAUGAGUUGCUUACUGAACAGGUCCGUAAAGCUCGGGUGAAGUUCAAUACCUUAAAAGGUAAGCUCCGUGAGACAAGAGAUGCUCUCAGGGAAAAGACAUUGGCUUUAGAAAGUGUACAGCUGGACCUAAGGCAAGCACAGCAUCGAAUAAAGGAAAUGAAGCAGAUGCAUCCAAAUGGGGAAGCUAAAGAAAGUCAAUCCAUUGGAAAGCAGAACUCUUCAGAGGAGAGAAUACGUCAACGAGAACUUGAAAAUCUCUUGCUUGAACGACAACUAGAGGAUGCUCGUAAGGAAGGCGAUAAUAAAGAGAUAGUCAUUAAUAUCCACAGAGACUGUCUUGAGAAUGGAAAGGAAGAUCUUCUAGAAGAAAGAAAUAAGGAAUUAAUGAAUGAAUAUAAUUAUUUAAAAGAAAAACUGCUUCAGUAUGAAAAAGAAAAAGCAGAAAGAGAAGUGAUUGUGAGAGAAUUUCAAGAAGAACUGGUCGAUCACCUUCAAAAAUUUUCAAUGUCAGAGUCUCCACUGGAAGGUACAUCACAUUGUCAUAUUAAUUUGGAUGAGACAUGGACUUCAAAGAAGAAAUUAUUUCAAGUAGAAAUUCAACCUGAAGAAAAACAUGAAGAAUUCAGAAAACUUUCUGAAUUAAUAUCAUUACUGAACUAUACUGCGGAUCAAAUAAGAAAGAAAAAUCGUGAAUUAGAAGAAGAGGCAACUGGAUAUAAGAAAUGCCUAGAAAUGACAAUAAAUAUGUUAAAUGCAUUUGCAAAUGAAGACUUCAGUUGCCAUGGAGACUUAAAUACAGACCAACUGAAAAUGGAUAUUCUGUUUAAGAAGCUAAAACAGAAGUUUGAUGAUCUUAUGGCUGAGAAGGAAGCUGUAUCUUCAAAAUGUGUCAAUUUGGACAAAGACAAUGAAGUUCUUCAUCAGGAGUUAUUAUCUAUGAGAAAAGUACAAGAGAAAUGUGAAAAACUUGAGAAGGAUAAAAAGAUGUUGGAAGAAGAAGUAUUAAAUCUUAAGACACAUAUGGAAAAAGAUAUGGUAGAACUUGGUAAAGUACAAGAAUAUAAAUCGGAGCUGGAUGAAAGGGCAACGCAGGCAAUAGAAAAAUUAGAAGAAAUCCAUUUACAGAAACAAGCAGAAUAUGAAAAACAAUUAGAGCAGUUAAACAAGGACAAUAUGGCUUCACUAAAAAAGAAGGAACUCACACUUAAAGAUGUGGAAUGUAAAUUCUCCAAAAUGAAAACAGCUUAUGAAGAUGUUACAACUGAAUUAGAAGAAUAUAAGGAAGCCUUUGCAGUAGCAUUGAAAGCUAACAGUUCCAUGUCAGAAAAAAUAAUGAAAUCGGAUAAGAAAAUAGCAGUGAUCAGCACCAAGCUCUUUAUGGAGAAAGAGCGGAUGGAAUAUUUUCUCAGCACUCUUCCUAUGAGGCCAGACCCAGAGUUACCUUGUGUUGAAAAUCUUAAUAGUAUAGAACUCAACAGAAAAUAUAUUCCCAAAACGGCCAUAAGAAUUCCUACUCCAAACCCACAGACUUCAAAUAACUGCAAGAACUCCUUGACUGAGAUGGAGCUGGACUGUGCAGAACAAAUAAUUACAGAAACAAAGAAAACUUUUGCUGUGUUGGGCCCUUGCUCCUAUCUACUUUCUUCUCUAGAAUCCACUGAGUUGGAGCCACCGAGGAAGCACAGGCGAGCUCUUCCCAUCGUGCACUCACUAGUCCCCAACAGAAGAACUGCUGCUGCAUCUACUGAGGCUCCUGUUGUGGUGGGUUGUGUCAUCCCACGAUGUCACUCUUGCUGAGUCCCCAUCGCCUCUGUGUUUUGGAGCAGUUAGAGACACACAGCAGUCUCUGUGAGUGGCUCUGCGUGAAGGAUUGUUUUCUAGGUGAGAUGCACAUCUCAACACAGCUGACUGCUCAGACUCAGCAAUUCCAUUCUGCAUCUCCUCUGGACACCCCCAGGACCACCAGGACAACCCCAUCAUGGCCCUGUCACCAGGCCCAGUCUGGCUCCAUGAUAACCAAGAUGCAGGUCCAGAGACAACCGCCCUACUUGGUGCCUGCAUCUGACCCCCCUUGGUGGGUAGUGACCAGCCCAACAUGGAAGAAGCCAGGGCAGCAUGCAGCCAGCUGCCUUGCAGCCCCAGAUGGCACCUGGGCCUUGGGAAGUCAUUGUCAAAGUGGAAGCUGGAAACUUUGAUGUCCCUGGAGGGAAGGGUGAACGUGGCAUCUGAACAACCCUGGCAGCCAGCAGCAUCUUCUCAUCCAACCUGUGGGACAGAGGCCCCCUGCUUGGGAACGAGAUCCAUACCUAAAGGGUCCUGGCCCAGUCAGGCCUCAUCCUGGGCCCUGGGAGGGGAGGGGCACUAUGGGCCCCCCAGCAGCAGUCAGCAUUACCACCCAGGGGACUCAGCCUUCUGUGGCCCUGGCCAGAGUUAGAAUUUGGCCCAAGACAGGACAAGCUCACUCAGAGCAGGGUGUCA